rnacentral:rRNA from 1 species
GCUUCUUUCCUCCCGAGUGCUUGCACUCAAUUGGAAAGAGGAGUGGCGGACGGGUGAGUAACACGUGGGUAACCUACCCAUCAGAGGGGGAUAACACUUGGAAACAGGUGCUAAUACCGCAUAACAGUUUAUGCCGCAUGGCAUAAGAGUGAAAGGCGCUUUCGGGUGUCGCUGAUGGAUGGACCCGCGGUGCAUUAGCUAGUUGGUGAGGUAACGGCUCACCAAGGCCACGAUGCAUAGCCGACCUGAGAGGGUGAUCGGCCACACUGGGACUGAGACACGGCCCAGACUCCUACGGGAGGCAGCAGUAGGGAAUCUUCGGCAAUGGACGAAAGUCUGACCGAGCAACGCCGCGUGAGUGAAGAAGGUUUUCGGAUCGUAAAACUCUGUUGUUAGAGAAGAACAAGGACGUUAGUAACUGAACGUCCCCUGACGGUAUCUAACCAGAAAGCCACGGCUAACUACGUGCCA